UACGUAGGAGGCGAGCGUUGUCCGGAUUUACUGGGCGUAAAGAGCGCGCAGGCGGCAUGUCAAGUAAGGUGUGAAAUCUCCCUGCUCAACGGGGGGGGCGUAUUUUAGACUGGCAAGCUAGAGGACGGUAGAGGGGGGUAGAAUUGCUGGUGUAGCGGUGAAAUGCGCAGAUAUCAGGAGGAACACCGGUGGCGAAGGCGGCUUGCUGGGCCAGUUCUGACGCUGAGGAGCGAAAGCGUGGGGAGCGAACAGG
rnacentral:rRNA from 1 species